UUAUAUUGAGAGUUUGAUCCUGGCUCAGGAUGAACGCUGGCGGCGUGCUUAACACAUGCAAGUCGAACGGACGGAUUGGAGCUUGCUCCAUGAAGUUAGUGGCGGACGGGUGAGUAACGCGUGGGUAACCUGCCCUAUGCAGGGGGAUAACGUUUGGAAACGAACGCUAAUACCGCAUAACCUAGUUGGUUCGCAUGAACCGACUAGCAAAGAUUUUAUCGGCAUAGGAUGGACCCGCGUUGGAUUAGCUAGUUGGUGAGAUAACAGCCCACCAAGGCAACGAUCCAUAGCCGGCCUGAGAGGGUGAACGGCCACACUGGGA
rnacentral:rRNA from 1 species